rnacentral:rRNA from 1 species
CACCGCGGUUACACGAGAGGCCCAAGUUGAUAGACAUCGGCGUAAAGGGUGGUUAAUAGGAUAAAUUACACUAAAGCCGAACGCUUUCAAAGCUGUCAUAUGCUCUCGAAGAUAGGAAGCUCGCCCACGAAAGUGGCUUUAACAACUAUGACCCCACGAAAGCUAGGGCA